GAGCUCACCGAAUGUCUGACCGGAACUUAAUGCUAACCUCCAGUAAGAAGUAUACCACCCAGGCACCAAAGGUGAUUCCAUAUUAACGGCUAUGUCAAUCUCUUGAUUCACAGGACAGGCACCAGUGGGAAUCACUAGCUGAGCUGAACGAGAAUGUCCCAAAUGAUGUCCACCAGUCCAUAGAAGGUGUGUGCCCAGAGGCCAUGCAAUUGUACCAUUGUUACGCAUCCGCCAU
rnacentral:misc_RNA from 1 species